rnacentral:rRNA from 1 species
GUCCACGCUGUAAACGAUGGGCACUAGGUGUGGGGGGUGUCUACUCCCUCCGUGCCGAAGCUAACGCAUUAAGUGCCCCGCCUGGGGAGUACGGCCGCAAGGCUAAAACUCAAAGGAAUUGACGGGGGCCCGCACAAGCAGCGGAGCAUGUGGUUUAAUUCGACGCAACGCGAAGAACCUUACCUUGGCUUGACAUGUUCCUGAUCUCCCUGGAAACAGGGCUUCCCUUCGGGGCAGGAUCACAGGUGGUGCAUGGCUGUCGU